GAGGCGCAGCGGGGUCUGGGGGGGCCGCUGGCGGCCCCCACCCACGAGGCUGCCCCGCGCCAGCUUCUGCAGCUCGACGGGCACCACGGCGCUGGGGCAGUGCUUCUCGAUGUAGUCCUGGAAACCCUGCACUCCCAUGCUGCGCAGGAGGAGCGGUGGCAUGGCGGGGAACCCGGCCGGUCUGCGGAGCACACGGGGCUGGAGCUGCGCUGGUGCCACAGGUCUCAGGGAUUUCGGCUUCCAAGGCUGGCAAGUCGGUACCUGCCAGAAGCAUUAAAUUCCUUUCUGAAUGUUUACUUGCAUUUUGUACAAGAUACCCAUAGUCUGUUGAGGAAUCCAUUCUCCAGAAAAAAUAUUUAGAGUGCAAGUCACAGUUUUGCCCUUCAGAAAUUCAGCCAAAACACAUUGAAUCUGCUAACCACUGACAACAUAGUGGUGGUCAAGAUGUUUAUACAUAAAACACUGUAUCAGUGAGAGUAAAGCACAGAUCUUGCCCAUGUAAUAGAUAUCUAAUACCGAAAUGGAAAAGCUGGCCAAGCCCUUUUCUAAAAUAAAUGCUUUUACAAGAAUAUAGGUUAACUGUAGUACAGUGGAUUUUAACUGCCAAAUCUGAGCAACUAGAAUUUUGAACAGUUUUACUGGUGCAGAAAAAAAAAAAAAAAGAAGAGGCUUGUUUCCUCACUGGAAAAUAAAAUGCAUCUAAAUAAAUACUAAUGCUGAUUUUUUUUGGUGAAGAUUUAUGUGAUUAAUCCCUUUACAGUCCUAGAGUGUAUUAGGUUUCACUAAUCUACGCUCAGUUUUAUGUUAGAUUGCCGGCAUAGGACAAGAGCGAGGAGCUUGCUCUGCUCUGCAACCAGGCAGGCAGCAAAGAGGGUGAGAUCAUCUAUGUACACUUUACACCUGAAUCCAGGGAUUUUGUGCCUGUAGUUGCAUGAGCACCUGUUUGUGUGAGCAAGUCCCUGAAACUGCUUUAAAAGACACAUUACUUUAUGCAGAUAAGGUGGCUGGUUAUAAAACAAGAUUUGCACAGGAGAGGAAUUUUGCGUGCAAUUUUCAAGAUGCCUUUUUUGCAGCCAUUUGAUCGGGGAGUUUUCCUUUCCACAUAAAUGAUCAGUCUCACUUGCUCAGGAAACACUUGCCUUAACUGCCAGUAUGCUCUUACAAAUCUCACAGCUUGGAGAGAAUAGCAGACCUGAGCUGAUGCCAAAUAAGUGCUGGUCUGGUGGAAGAGAAAGUAGGGAGCUUUUCUAAGUGUAAGUUAUUAUUGUUCAGCUUCAUAAUAAUUUUCUUGUCUUGAGGGACUUGAUUUAUGAGUAUAGCGUUAAAAAAAAAUCUUGCUCAGAAAGGCCAGCGGUAUGACAUGACAGGGCAUGCAUUGUGCUGUAUUAAUUUCCAGUUACUAUGUUGGCUGUGUACAACUACAUCACAAAAAGGAGAUGCAAAUUAACACGAUAUAAUUAUCCUGUUAGAGCAUCUCAUGGUGAUUUUACUGUCUCUGUUAAAGCCAGCACACUCACAGCUCAGCUGAGCCGCCUCGGGUCCGCUGGCAUGGGGGUGGUGGUGGGGCUCCCUGCAGGAGCUGCCGCGGGGUGUGGGGCUCCCCUGUCCCCACGGCUGGGCUGGCUGCAGCACCCAGGGUGGUGGACAAGCCCAAACUGCUUGUUUGAAAGAUGGGUUCAGGGAAUUUCGGUGCUUAGCAUCAACAACUUACCUCCACAGCCAGCUAAAUGAAGCAGACUGAAUUAUCCCAAGAGUUAUUUAUGAGUACCAAGAGUUAAAAAUUCAGCCCUUCUCAGGUGAUGCAGCUUAAGAACAUUAAUACCAUGCACUACGUUUUUUCUGCACUGACAAUUUCAGUUUCAGAUGAAGUUUGUUUGAGAGCAAAAUAUAACUUCCUUUUCCAAUGUUCAUAUCUGAAAAAAUGUUAAUUAGUUUAUGACUUGCAGUCUUCAGUAAUUCUAUGCAGAUGUGGGUUUUUAACUUGUUCAAGGUUUUCCCAUUUUCAUAGAGUGGACCCUUUGUAAGGGACCAUGGCCAAGACACCCAUAUGUGUCCCGGUUACAAUCACAGACAUCAUCAUCUGUGAAUUUAAUGAUUUUUUCAUUUCCAUUUUUCCUACCUAACAUGAUAAAGUGCCUGGGUGUCAGUUGCAGCAACUGUUUACAUUAUUUAAAAUACAGUAAAGUAUUUCCACUGCAUACCAACCAGAGCCAAGGUCUGUAUUUUCCAGACAUCUUCAAGGCAAACAUUUAAAGCCAACUGUAAGACUUGGAUUUGACAUUCUAACUCUGGUAUACGAUGGCACUUGGUGUUCGAGUUGACUUUUACCUCCUUUUCAAUAUCACAGAGUCAUGCUAACACUUUUCUUUUUAAGAGGAUGCAUGGUAGUAAAGUACCCAGAUCCCUCUGAACGGUGCAAUCAUUCUUUUAAACUUUUAGCUGAAAAGAUAGUAUUUUACAAUCUCAGAAGGACAGUUUCCUCCAUCUAGAAAACUGAGAAAGGAAAGCUUUCCACAGACUCCUGCAGGGUCGGGAUCAGACUCGUCAGCUAGCAUUUUGAUGCAGUCUUAUUUUUCAUUGAGAUGCAACAAUAACCAGGAGAAUCCUGUCUUUAUUUCUGGGAAUUAAGUAAUUUUUAGAUGGUGAAAUUCUGCAUCAUUUCAGUCAUAAUUUGGAACCCAACCACUUUAUAUGCUGUUGAAAGCCUCAUCUCUCACAAGGGACAUUUUGUGAGACAAAUUGUAAUGAACUGGGAUGAGACAGAAGCUCUGGUGAGGAGCAGAUUCAAGUUGUGAAGUAGGUAAAAUAACGUUCUCGUUAGGGCUGAGAAAACUACCUUCUCGUUAGUGUCAAAAUCACAGAUGCAUGUAAACUGCAAGCAUCCCGGUGAAUGUGCAACCCUAAGUCUUAAAUAAUUUUUCAAUAAAAUGUGCUUUCUAGGUGAGUGUUUCGGGUUCAGAAGUGGGAUUGUUCUACAGGAGAAUGAUCAAAAUCAGCUCUUUUGAUGUUGUGUUCACAGAAACGGACACCACGUGAUGCAAGUUCAUAAAGAAUGAAUGGAAUUAGGACAAAUGUUUGAAGACUUCUUGCAACAAAUUGCUCACAAAUAAUUUAUGGCAAGAUUUACUUGCAGAGUGAUUACAGCACACGUUUUUGAUAAAAAAAUAUUUAAGAAAACCAAUCUGCUUGUGGACAAAUAAUGAAAAGAGGAAGAGGAAAAAUUCCUUUAACAAAUAUGAAACUGCAAAUUAUUCACUCAGCUCAGCUAGCAACAAACAAUUUUUAUGGUAGUAGGAGCUCAUGGAGGAGGAGGUAACUGUAUGAAGAAUGAUAGAUUCAGUAUCUUCUAUUGCAAUUCUGGAAGGGGUUCCAACAUCUAAUUUAAAAGCCAUUUUCCUCCUUUUAUCCAGUAAAGAAAAAAUGAUAGUCAAUGCCUGUGAGCUGUUUUGGGCAGACAAAAUCUAUUUUGUGUCCAUGCAGUCCUGUGGUCGCUGACAAAGGCUAGCUCAUAAGGAAGAGCAGGUUUUUAUUAGGAAAGAUCUCUCUUUCCAGGAAAAAAACCCCAAAAUCUGCCUGAGGAAGGAUAUUGCCAUCAUAAUCCUCUUUGCAUCUUCCCAUGAGAGAGUAAAGGAUUCACCUUUCCAGAAGAAACACAUAAUCCGUCUUCAACUUGGUGUAUCUUUUCAGUCUCAGAGUUGUGGAGUCUUGUGUGAACUGCAUCUCCACCAGCCCAUCUUCCAGUCCACAGUAAUAAAAUGGUCAGUGAUUUACUUUCCUCUUGGAAGAAUACAAAGAACAUUUUGGGCAUCUCUCGCCUAAGACCACCUUUUGUCUCUUCCCCCCACUCACUGGGAGGAGGUCAGCCACCUCCUGGGCAAGAGGCUCCGGGAUGCUGUGCCGGGAUUCUGGCAGAGUUAUCUUCUGCUCAGGAGAGAGGGUGACUGUAGCACGUUCUGUUUAUGCCUGUGGCAUGGUAGAUGCAAGUUCAGCAUUCAGAUCUCCUUAACUCCUUACAUGUGUAUUCUUGAUUCAAUAUUUAAUUCCUAAUUUAAUUCCUGAGCAGGCACAUGCUAUCUUUCAAAGCCAUAGCAGGUGCAAGAGAGUCCACUUGAUCUCUGCUGCUUUACUUCACAAAAAAACCUUAAAAUGCUAAUGCCAUAAGUAAGUAUUACAGCACAUCUUUGGGUGAACGAUAUCUGACAUUACUGCAGAUUUUAGCCACAGUGAAAGAUUUUACAAGCUACUUUGAGCUAAUGGAAGAACAGUUUUAAUUUAAAACACUGAUGUGUUUGUUCCCGUAAAUGCUGAUUGCCGUAAUUCUGUUGUACGCUGUUGGCUUGGUUAUACUGAGCUGAGUUAGCUUGUUACAACUUAUCACUAACCAUUGAUUAUAAAUGAAUUUUAUUAUUUCUGUGUUUCUAGAGAGAAAGCUAUCAGGACUGAUACAUUUCUAUGUCCACUGGAGGGAACAAUGACAAAAAGAGGUGUAUUUCUGCAAGAAUGUUCUAGGCCACAUUUUCAACAAAGGAAGGAUGUGCUGCCAAAGAUGACACUCAGCCCAACAGGAUACAAGAUGCGAACAUCUGCAUCCAGUUGAGCUGUGCUGAAACCACCCUUAAUUCCUGCCAUUUAUACCUUUCCUCCCAUGCUGCAAAUUCACAUUAGAUUCAAGACUGCUUGCAAUGUCCUUGGAUGGUAAUCCCAGUCUGCUGCUGGUGAACGUUCUGGCCCUGUUCUGUGCUUUAGGAGCCCUUUCUACAGGAUCUGCCUGCUCCUGGGACAGGAGCUCGGGGCACACAGUAGCUCAUACCCUGCAAAGCACUUGUCAGAGGACAGCUAAUACGUUGGCGAAUGAACUUCAACAACUGCACUACAGAAGCGCAUUAAUUCUGACUAUAAUGUGAGUACAGACAGAUUUCUUAGGCUGCUUCAGUCUACUAACUGCAGAUAUGUCCGUAGGUCGGUUGAUGCAGGUUAAGAAACCGGCCGCUGUCCUUUGCCUUUACGAUCCCAUAUGCAAUUUUGGAAAGUUUGCCUAGAGAGGGUAACAGAAUGUUCAGCUGCUGCCCCCCCCCCCCCCCCCCCCCCAGCCUAUUGGCUUUUUUGCUUUUGUUUAAUUUGCUGCAUGUGAUUAACUCCACUGCCUUUCUGCCUGGCAGAAUCUGUGACUGAAAAUAUCCUGUGAGUAUACGCAGUAUGCUGUAACACUGGUGGAAAGUAAAUAAGACCAUAGUCUUCAUAAUCACUGUUUUUCCAAAGAACUACUGCUCCCAGCAGACAGGCUAUUUUAGGCUGUAAAUGGAAAUCAGAAAAUGAGAUUUUCUUUCUCUGCUAGUUCUUCUCCUGGGAAUUUUAGUGCUUUCCCCUGUGCACCUGCUUUCAGUGUUGGUGGCAGCAUAUUGAUAAUACCGGCCUGUUGGAGGAUUGAUCAGUAGAGCCUAUUCUGAAAUACACCAGUGAACGUGGGAACUGAUUUCCAGUAGUACCAACAUACUAGUUGUUGAUAUAAAAUCGAGUGUUAGGUCAAAACCACAUCUAGAUAGCCUGAUUUACUCCAUGAUUCAGGUGACAGUUCACUCAAAAUUCAGACUUGCAAAGUAAAGGUAUUUCCUAGCUACUUGCACAUUUUGUUUGAAUAUUGGUAUUGUAUUUUCAUCUCAAUUUUGCAGACUGCCUUUUAUCUCCUGUUUGAUGGUCUAAGUCCCGUUACAAAUGUAGACACUCUUCAUAUGUAGUCCUGUCGAUACCAGUGAUGUCUGACCUUGCCUCCAGUUCAUAGCACAGACACGAUCAUCCAUAUCAUACUUAUCAUAUGGAUCUAAUGCAAGAUCUCUGCACAGUCUUUAAAUCUGAGAAGUUCUAAUUAUCAUUCUUAAUACUUCAUUUAUUAUGCAUUUUUUUUCUGGAAGAAGCUUUGCAUUGUUAGGAAUUCAAAAGAUAAGGUUUUGCUACAGCAACAUGCAAAUCUCAGAACGAGAACUUGAGAACAAAUUACAAUCUUUAGCAGUAGCUGCAGUUUUCUGAUACCCCAAAUGGUGUUGAGAAGGAUCUUCUGUGGUAGGAAACACCCUAAUUAUUUUGUGGCACGGAUACUGCUGUGAUACUACAUCUGUACCCCCCCACAUUUGAUUGGAUACUAUCAACAAGCAUCCUCUGACUUUGCUGAGUAGCCGGUAAUUUAUUUUAGUCAAUUGUGGUACUACUGAGAAGCACUGUCUUUGUGCCUAUAUAAAUAAUAUAUUAAAAAAUAACCUUGGAAAAACAUUAAUCAUGGUAUUUUUUUCACUGAAGGAGGAGUAGGCUUUUUUGGGAGCAAACCUACUGAGUGAAAGAUAACUUAGUCAACAAGGGUCAGCUCUGACAUUGAAAGCAGAUGAAAGACUGUGAAAAAAACCCAUAUGGCUUUAAAUAAAUGAAUGAAUAGAAAGACGGCUUUGUGUUGUACCCAGACAUCACAUGUGAUAAUCCAGACAUCAAAAAUUGUCAUAAUCAUGAUUUUUUGUUCUCAUAGUCUUCCACUUUGCUUUGUCAUUUACACCAUUCACGUCCUUGACUUUAAGCAGCCUGAUGCUGGUUGCUGGUUGCUUAGUUUGACCUUAAAAAUAUAACGCAAAUUGCAAACACAUUUAGAAAGUUGGAAAACUCUUAUCCAGGAGAAAUUCUCAGAGCACAAAGAAAGAUGUGAAGCAACUGAACUCUUGGAUUUACUUUGAAAAUGUCCUGUCCCGCUGUGCCUCUCCUUGCACACCGCCAGCUGCGGUGGCCCCAGCUAACAUUGCUUCCCCUGUACUUUUUCAUGGCAGGCUCUCUUCCCUUUACGGUUUUUUUUCGGGCACCUUCAUCCUCAUUCCUUUCUACUCCUCUUUCUGAAGCAGCAUGAGACCCAGUUGCUACCUGUGGCCCAACUUCUUGCUCUUUUACCAACUGCAGACCUUCUUUUUUAUCAUUAAUAGUAGUUACUUACCUGGGUGUGUUUUACCUCUGUCCUUUAAUCCCGCAGUUUUCUAUGUAAAGGCCCUCAUCCCGAAACUCCCUUCUUGUUGAACCACUGUGGCUCCUCAAAAUUAGAGGAGCAACAGCAUGCAGAUGAUAGAGCUCGUUAGAAACACAGCACACAGCGUAACAUGGUUAGCCAUCACCAGAUCUACUGUUAAUUCUGUAGCCUUUUCCCCAGAGACCCCUCUGGCUUCCCACGUACCGAGCAGCUGGAAGCAGGCAGUGCUUUUCUUCCCUUUCCUUGGCACCUCACACCACAGAGGACAUCACAGUUGUGGUCCCAGGCCCCGUACCUUCUUUUUCCAAGUCGAGUCUCCCAUGCUGCGGACCUACCAUCUUUGCCUUCCUCACUCGGAGCCCUUUGGCUCCCAGCUCCUCGCCCCUCCCUGUGCCAUGCCCCAGGAGGAGCCUGGCCAGAGGAGAUGGGACUACUCCAGUGUUUGCUACAGGACUGCUGAUGCUCAGCCACAUCCCACGUUCCACUUACCUUGUUGAUGAGAUACUAAGCAAAUAGGCACACCCGCUGGCGCCUCAAAAAGAGUGCUUUAACUUAAUAUUUGGAAGGUUAGUUAUCAUGGAAAUUGAAUACAUGCAAUAUUCACAUAAUGUACGUAGGUGGGCUUUCCCCCCAUCCCCCCCCCAAGGGGUCAUCUAAGUCCUGAAAACCAAAGCACAUGACUCCAUAGGUAGAUCAAAUUGCUUCUAAAGAAACAUGAUCUUUUUUCUCCAAGUCUGAAAAAUCCAUCAGAGGAAAGAGGAGGAGUGGGGAAUAACAUCCCUGCUCUUGUCAAUUCUGUUAAAAUUCCUACUGAAAUAAAGGGAUAGCAGAAGAAAGUGUAACGAAGAAAAAGAGGAAAGAAUCCCUUUGCUAGAAAAAAUGAGCAGUUUAAUUGACCCAAAAGGCUUAUUCUUACCGUGAAAAGUAUAUAAGAAAAAGUCAAAGCAGAAUUUGAGAAAGACAGAUCUAUGAGAAGCUACCAUAUUCAAGAAUGACAAGUUUCAUAUAAACACCAAAUAUAAAAGAGCAUCUCUGAUAGAAAAGUGCAGUCAACAGGUUGGAGCUCUGCAAAAUCAAGCAGUGGCCUUUUGUGGCAACUGUUGCAGUCGAUACUACAGAAGAUACUGUAUUUCCUAAAGGGAUUUCCAAGUGGAAGUGGUGCAGGGUUUUUUUUAUAGAUUCACAGAACACAUUCACCUUCAAGUUUACUGCAUUCUCCGCCAAUAUAAAACCACUUUUAAGUACAGAUGUUUCUCCCAAACUUAGCAGACAAUGAUUUGCAAUGGAAAGAGGAAAUUAAAUAGCUUGAUAGAUUGCUAUUCUUUCCUCUAUCUGGUCAGCAAAUUUAAUUUUUACUUACAUUAUAUAGGCAUAAGCAAGGAAUUAAUUCAUAUUCAGCGAAAUAAGCCCGUACCUUACAUGAAACUGAAGCUCAGCUGAGCACAUCUUAAAGGAGCGUGAUGUGUAGGAGGGCACAGGCUUGGCAGACCUUAGAAACCAACACAUCAGGUUGAGCACCCUAAAACUGUGUCAUCCAAACUCCACUAACUGGCUGGGAGCAGUUAGGCUGCUGUUCAGUGCUUCUCUUGCAUGUUCUUGUGGCACUGCUGACAGCAGCGUGAUUACAAGCCCGUGAGCUUUGAGUGCCACACGGCUAUUAGCCAGCAGCAUCCUGACAUACUGGAAAAGCUGAAAGCCUGCUCUUGUAAUAACCACUGAAACUUAUCAAAGUGAACAGUUUAAUUGAUCCAAUUAAAGAGAGGCCAUUGCAUGUCCAGGCUUUUAUUUACAGCAUUCUUCAGGUGUUUUACUUUGCUGAAGAUCCUAUGGGCUAUUAAGGAGGACAUGUAUCAGGAUAUGUAUCAGAAAAACAUGUUUUCUUAGAAUAGAAAUCAAGACCAGGAGGCAGAAAAACCUCACUACUUAAAUAGGGCUCAAAUACAAAUGACAAGUGUGGGCUAAUCCAUCUGUCAGUCUUCUCCUACUACAGUUGUUCUGGGUGAGCAAGGAAUACUAUGUUUUUACUGAUGAUGCUUACUACAUGUUGCCCCGUACAAGGGGGUCCCAUUGUGCCAGGCGCUGAGCAGGCACAAACGAAUUGGUAACCCUUGUCCUGAACAUCUUCGCUGAAUAAUGUACCUUCAUCUCCUGCUUUCUCAGCCUUCAACUAGAAGUUGGUUUUUACCACUAACCUGUAAGGUAGUAAAAGGGCUCUGAAGCAAGCUGUAUCUUUGGUUUUAAAUAAUUAACUAUAUUGACUUGGAUACUCUGAGAGCCUCCACUAAUCUCAGCCUUCCCAGCAGUUCUCAGAUAAAAUAAUAAUAAAAAAAAAUUAUAUACACUAGUGUAACUCACUGUCAGUUUUAUGAAUGAACUCCUCUGCCACAUUCACCACUUGGGACCAGACCUGCUGCUGGUCUGUCCUGGUAGGUUUGCGCUCAAGGCAACGGCAAGACAGCCAUUUAUUUCAGCUGAGAAUCUGAUGCCUGGCUGUUUUGAGAUAGAGUGAAACUUGUCCUCCGUAAUUACUUUAUAAUCAGUGAAGAGUGCUUUCUAGAGCAGCUUGGUGUAAUACAAAAUCAUGCUUUAAAUAUUCUGGACUUGUAUUGUGUGCCAGCAAGGAAGGACAGUGACCUGGAGAGUGCAGGAUGUUCACUUGAGAGUCCACAAAAAUACUAUGGCCGUGAUAGAACAGACAGAAAUAGUUUAACCAGGCCUGAAGUUGCUAGCAGGGGACCAAGGAAAUCAAUAAAGCAAACGGGAGAGCUAGACAGUUUAUGAUGUCUUAUCUCCUCUAUAUUGCCACAUGGACUUUUCUUUAUUAGGAAAAUAAAUGUACUUGAAUGAAAUAUCAA